CACAUCCUCUCUAGUAUCUAUAGUAUCUGAAUUUGUUCAUUUUAGCUACUCUGACUGGCAUGAGGUGCUAUCUCACUGGAAAUCCUUCUGGGAGAUAUGAUUUGUGGGAAUGCUUCCUGGUGGUAAAUAAUGGUGUGGGGAGUAGUUAAACAUGACUACAUUUCACCAUGGUCCACAAAGGCCUAGAUCAAAUGCCCAAGGGAUGUGCAAGUCCCAGAGGGAUGAGCUGUGCUUGAGAAAACAGCUUUUACCUCACAGGGCCAAGCUGGUUACUUCCUUUGGGGUGGCCCGAUAUAGGUGGGUUUGUGCUAGUAAAUUUAAUUUGUUUGUUGGAUGCUCUGUGGUGAAGAUAAGGUUAGAGGAAAGUGAGAUGAAGGAAGUAACUAGAGCCACCUGUAAAUUAUUGGAUAAAAGACCUUUCCAACACCCUGAGGUCUGGUCAGAGCAUCAAACCCAGGUAGAAUUCUAUGGAGAAGUUUUCAAGUUGGCAAGAAAGACAGUGGGAAGGGAAGACUCUGGUGUGGUCUCCCAAACUCCUGUUAAAUAGUUACCUGCAUGAGGCCUUGGGACUCUGAGGUCAUUCAGUGACUCCUGAGAGACAGUUCUGUGUGGAUUGACUAUAAAUCACAAAUUAUUUCAAUCCUGAGAAGAUGAGGACAAUGAACAAACCGUGUACAAGUUUCCAGUGUCCUACUGUUCAAUUUAGUGGGGAGAAGGGGAUGGGUCUGAAUCUACAAACCUUCCAUGUCUACACAUGUCCCUUAGGCCAUAAGAGGCCAGUCACUAAGGAGCUUUAAGACUUUGAGCACGUGGAAUUCUCUGGAAGAUUAUCCUGUGUCUACCAUAUAGUUUCCCUGACUCUGGGUAUGCACAACAAUAUUAGGGGCUGAAUGCUCAGGCCUCUAUGCUCCUCUACCUUAUCCACCUGCACACACACAUGCACACUCAUGCAUCUUUGUCUGGGCUAGGAAGGAGCAGCCCAGGGUUCCCUUAGCCUUCGGUCUCUCCUCUACACCCUCAGAGAGGUGGGUCCAGGAAUCAGAGUGAAAGAAUCCGAUCCCUGUGAAAGGAGGCAGAGGUGCUGCAGAACAUUAACCAGCCAGACUUUCUCUGUGUGGAAAACAGAACUGAGAGGAGAUGGAUGGGUCUGUGGUGCUGGCCCUUCAGGACACUUCCCUCUCAACUGGUGUUGGACUGACGAUACCUGUAAAGAACUGACUAACCUGUCUGCCUCUGAAUUUGCUUGGCUUUGGACAUCUCUACUGCUCAAAGCAGAAACUGAGGCUCCUAGUGUCUGGGAACCAAAGCAGUGUGGCCCAGCAUGUGACACCAACCCCAGGACCUUGUACACCAAGGAAAUAGGGGAAGAAACCAGGUGCUGAGACAGAGGAUCAGAUCUGCUUCUCUGUGGCCUUAGGGUAGAGUUAACCCCUCAGGUCUACUCUGUAGGUUCCCAUUCAUUCCUCAUGCAUAGCAGCAGAAGGGACACUGACAAGCACAUCAGAGAGGGAAUUGCUUGAAAUAGAUUCUGGGCGGGAAGACCCAGUAUUUUUUUUCUGCAAAUUGUCCAAUCUGCAGGUGUUCCAAAGACAGAGGCCUGUAAGAGGCUGGAGGAGAUGCUGAAUCCCUGCGAAGUGUCCUAAUCAGUAUGCCAGGCGCUCCACCAGGACCCUGAGGCACUGUGCCCAGCGCUGUGACGGAGGGAAAACAAACGAAGCGUGUCAUCUAUGUCCCCGUGGAGCCAAGAGCUGUAAAAGAACAGCAACCCCAACUGUAUCUUCAUGAUGCAUCUGAGGAGAACGGGCCGUCUCAGUCUCUGAUGUCAGGCAGGAAACGGCUCAGAGCCCAACCCACCAUCGGAGUUGCUGUGAACUACUAGAAUAUGAGGGUCUUGGCCUCUGGCCAUGAAGCUGAGGACUGUUGGUCCUGUCCUUUGGAAACAGCCAUUUGGAACUAGCCUCUCCAAAGCCAACUUGUUGCUAUGUGUGAAAUUUUCCAGGAAGUGAGCCACUUCAUGCUUUUAACCCCCAAGGAAGUUGAUAGGUUUUGCAUUCCACUCCCCGAAAGAUUCAAGAUACUGAAGAGUCAAGAAGGAAAAAGGCACUCAGGAAGGAAAAACCUUCAAAGAGGAGGAGAUAUUUCAGUGGGCUUUUGACAGUUCCAGAUGUACUGUUGUGUCAAGAGAAAUGCUGCCACUCAUCUGAGGUCCUUCUCUUCUGCAAGAAAACUGAUACAUACCUCUAAAGCCAAGAAAUAUCCUGCAGGUCCAGCUGCACCUGCACCAGGGAACUUCUCACCCUUUCAGCAGGUGGACAGGAAGCCCCAGGGGUAGAGACAUGCUCAGUGAAGCGAGUGACCUACAAUUUGAGGAUGGUGGCAAUCCCAGGCACCCCUGUUGCAUAACACUCCUCUGAGAGCCAGGCCCACAUGGGACUCACCUAAACAGGCACAAGACACGGCCUUCCUGCCAACCUGCACUUCCUCUGCAGGCAGCUCAAGAGACUUCCAAGUAGAAGGAAUCAUGCAGGAUGUAUUUCUCUGUGCCUGGCGUCUUCCAUGCAACAUCAUGUUUUUCAUCCCAAUCAUCUGGUGGGUAUCACGUUUCCAUUCUUUUUAUUACUACAUAAGUAUUCCACUGUGUGAAUAUGCGAGUUUGUUUAUCCGUUUACCUAUGGAUGACCAUGUCUACACAAGUCUGUUCAUGAGCACGUGUUUUUGUUUGUCUUGGUAAAUAUCUAGGAUUGAGACUACUGGCUUUUCUAUGGUUAGUGUAUAUUUAACUUUUAAGAAACCACCCGUUUCCAGAGUGAUGAUACCAUUUUACAUACCUACCAGCAAUAUGCUAAAGUUCUCAUUUAUUUUUCUGUUGUUGUUUUCUGUGGGGUUUUUUUUGUUUGGGUUUUAGGGUUUUUGUUUGGUUGGUCGGUUGGUUGUUCUUUGGGGUAUUUUAGAGAGACCGAGAGGGGCAGAGGGAGAGGGGCAGAGAGAAUCCCAAGCAGGCUCCAAGCCCAGCACAGAGCCUGAUGCAGAGCUCCGUCCUACAAACCGUGCGCUCAUGACCUGAAAUCAAGAAUUGGACGUGUAACCGACCGAGCUAGCUAGGAACCCUGAAAAGUUAGUUCUAAAUUCUUUACAUCUUCACCCACACUUAGCACUGUCUUUUUAUGAUUUAGCCAUUGCAGUGUGUGUGAAGUGAUAUUCCCACUGUGGUUUUAAUC